rnacentral:rRNA from 1 species
GAUGAACGCUGGCGGCGUGCCUAAUACAUGCAAGUCGUGCGAACAGACGAGGAGCUUGCUCCUCUGACGUUAGCGGCGGACGGGUGAGUAACACGUGGAUAACCUACCUAUAAGACUGGGAUAACUUCGGGAAACCGGAGCUAAUACCGGAUAAUAUAUUGAACCGCAUGGUUCAAUAGUGAAAGACGGCUUUGCUGUCACUUAUAGAUGGAUCCGCGCCGCAUUAGCUAGUUGGUAAGGUAACGGCUUACCAAGGCAACGAUGCGUAGCCGACCUGAGAGGGUGAUCGGCCACACUGGAACUGAGACACGGUCCAGACUCCUACGGGAGGCAGCAGUAGGGAAUCUUCCGCAAUGGGCGAAAGCCUGACGGAGCAACGCCGCGUGAGUGAUGAAGGUCUUCGGAUCGUAAAACUCUGUUAUUAGGGAAGAACAAAUGUGUAAGUAACUAUGCACGUCUUGACGGUACCUAAUCAGAAAGCCACGGCUAACUACGUG